rnacentral:rRNA from 1 species
AUUGAACGCUGGCGGCAGGCCUAACACAUGCAAGUCGAACGAGUGGCGGACGGGUGAGUAAUGUCUGGGAAACUGCCCGAUGGAGGGGGGUAACUACUGGAAACGGUAGCUAAUACCGCAUACCAUCGGAUGUGCCCAGAUGGGAUUAGCUAGUAGGUGGGGUAACGGCUCACCUAGGCGACGAUCCCUAGCUGGUCUGAGAGGAUGACCAGCCACACUGGAACUGGAACACGGUCCAGGCGCCGACGGGAGGCAGCAGUGGGGAAUAUUGCACAAGGGGCGCAAUCCUGAUGCAGCCAUGCCGGGUGUAUGAAGAAGGCCUUUGGGUUGUAAAGUACUUUCAGCGAGGGGGCGUUACUCGCAGAAGAAGCACCGGCUAACUCCGUGCCAGCAGCCGCGGUAAUAC